GAUGAACGCUAGCGGCAGGCCUAAUACAUGCAAGUCGAACGGGAUCUGAGGGUAGCUUGCUACCCGAUUUGAGAGUGGCGCACGGGUGCGUAACGCGUGAGCAACCUACCCAUAUCAGGGGGAUAGCCCGGAGAAAUUCGGAUUAACACCGCAAAAGAAUGCAUUAACACAUGUUAAAGCAUUUAAAUAUUUAAAGGAUAUGGAUGGGCUCGCGUUACAUUAGCUAGUUGGUGAGGUAACGGCUCACCAAGGCGACGAUGUCUAGGGGCGCUGAGAGGAGAAUCCCCCACACUGGUACUGAGACACGGACCAGACUCCUACGGGAGGCAGCAGUAAGGAAUAUUGGUCAAUGGGCGGAAGCCUGAACCAGCCAUGCCGCGUGCAGGAUGACUGCCCUAUGGGUUGUAAACUGCUUUUGUCGAGGAAUAAACCUAUCUACGUGUAGCUAGUUGUACGUACUCGAAGAAUAAGGAUCGGCUAACUCCGUGCCAGCCGCCGCGGUAA
rnacentral:rRNA from 1 species